GACGAACGCUGGCGGCGUGCUUAACACAUGCAAGUCGAGCGGUAAGGCCCUUCGGGUACGACGAGCGGCGAACGGGUAGAGUAACACGUGGGUGACCUGCCUCUAGCUCUGGGAUAAGCCUGGGAAACUGGGUCUAAUACCGGAUAUGACUCCACGGCGCAUGUUGUGGGGUGGAAAGCCUUGUGUGGCUAGAGAUGGGCCCGCGGCCUAUCAGCUUGUUGGUGGGGUGAUGGCCACCAAGGCGACGACGGGUAGCCGGCCUGAGAGGGCGACCGGCCACACUGGGACUGAGACACGGCCCAGACUCCUACGGGAGGGCAGCAGUGGGGAAUCUUGCGCAAUGGGCGAAAGCCUGACGCAGCGACGCCGCGUGA
rnacentral:rRNA from 1 species